rnacentral:misc_RNA from 1 species
UUUCCGUAGGUGAACCUGCGGAAGGAUCAUUAUUGUAUAACCAACGUGCGAGGGCUUUCGCUGACCCUAAUGGUCGUGCACACCCGAGAACCCUCACACACUCCCAUCUCACCCCUAUAUGCACCACCGCGUAAGUCCCCCUUUUGCGUGUUCUGAACGGGGCUUCCGUAUUCACACAAACUUUGUAUGCAGUGUAGAAUGUAUUUUUUGUUUUUGCGAUCCCGCACUCAAUACAACUUUCAACAACGGAUCUCUUGGCUCUC